UGGGGAAUAUUGCACAAUGGGCGAAAGCCUGAUGCAGCGACGCCGCGUGAGGGAUGACGGCCUUCGGGUUGUAAACCUCUUUCAGUAGGGACGAAGCGCAAGUGACGGUACCUGCAGAAGAAGCACCGGCUAACUACGUGCCAGCAGCCGCGGUAAUACGUAGGGUGCGAGCGUUGUCCGGAAUUACUGGGCGUAAAGAGCUCGUGGGCGGUUUGUCACGUCGUCUGUGAAAUCCUAGGGCUUAUCCCUGGACGUGCAGGCGAUACGGGCUGACUUGAGUACUACAGGGGAGACUGGAAUUUCUGGUGUAGCGGUGGAAUGCACAGAUAUCAGGAAGAACACCGAUGGCGAAGGCAGGUCUCUGGGUAGUAACUGACGCUGAGGAGCGAAAGCAUGGGUAGCGAACAGG
rnacentral:rRNA from 1 species